AUAAGAAAAGGGAAUUACCUGAAUCAUCUGAUGAGAGCGAUGUUGAUUCAUUGUUCUCAUUGAGAUCUGAAAGUUCCCUAGGAUUAAAUUCAAUACCGGAAUUAACAGAUGAUCAACAAAUAGAAAUGGGCAAUUUUGUCUUAGUACAAUUUCCGACAAAAACAACAAUUGUUUAUUAUAUAGGAGAGCUUUUAAAGAAUUUAAGAUAAAGUUCCUAAGAAGGAAGUUUAACCAAAACAGGCUUUAUUAUCCAAAGGUUGACGAUAUUCCUGAAGUCAACCGACAAGACAUCAUUGCGAUUAUGCCAGACCCAGUUUUAGCAAACAAAUACCUCGAAUUUGACGUUACUUUAGAUAGUUAUAACAUUAAAUAAGUUUUUGAUAUUUAUAGCUUAGAAUAAACUUUGAUUUCGAUCUUUUAACAUUAUGUCAAUACUGCCCCACUGAUAUGUUAAAUGUGCCCCAUAUAUGGGGAACAUUUGUCUCUUUGUAAUUAAGAAAAUAAUAAUUGUUUAUCCAAAAAGUUUAUAAAAUAAAUAAUUAUGUUUUA
rnacentral:lncRNA from 1 species